rnacentral:rRNA from 1 species
CCCUUAGAUGUUCUGGGCUGCACGCGCGCUACACUGAUGCAUCCAACAAGUUUUUUCCUUGUUCGAGUGGACUAGGUAAUCUUUUGAGAAUGCAUCGUGAUGGGGAUAGAUUAUUGCAAUUAUUAAUCUUCAACGAGGAAUUCCUAGUAAGCGCGAGUCAUCAGCUCGUGCUGAUUACGUCCCUGCCCUUUGUACACACCGCCCGUCGUUUCUUCCGACUGAUACUCAUUGUGAGUUGCAAGGAUUCUUAUUGAAAAAUUGCUGCGAAUGCUUUGUAUCGGAGGAAGAAAAAGUCGUAACA